rnacentral:lncRNA from 1 species
GCCAGUCCCCCUAGAAGGACUCUAACUAUUAACUAACAAUAAUUCUACAGCGACAUUGGUUUGGGGACCGGGUUUGCGACCGGCUGAGGUGGUUGUGCCACAUGGUAGAGAAAAAGAAAAAAAAGAAGCUUACUCAUCACCCGGAACAAACCUUCUCUCUCUAAUAAACACUGAAUAAACACUCCCUCUCACACACCGAAACAAACAUUCUCUCUCUCGUAAUUCCUUUCACUUCCGCUGGAGCAAGCUUCGUCCUGGAACAAGUGAGAUCCAAAAUCACAAGCUUUCAAGGUAUCAUUUUCCCAUUUCGUAUCCUCCUCCUCCUGCCAUUACUCUCUCAUACGCCUAAAUUCUCAAAACCCUAAAAUUUGUGUGAUGUCAAACUGCAUUAGAUUUAACCAAUUACAAUUUCUUUCACAACUUCACCUCCAUGACAACUUCCAACAAAAGACAACUAGUUUUUCAUAAUAACAAACAAAUAGAGAAUAAGUAUUAAAAAACUAAUUUCUUCAAUAAUUUCAUUUCUUGUCUCAUUUCAAUUAUAGUAGGAUCAUGCAUAAUGAAAUUAUUUGGCAGCUGCGUUUCAAUAGUUGUUGAUGAUUUUUCUUCAUUUAUAGCUUUGCACCAUCCCAAGAAACCGCAUUUUCCAUUCGGGCACGCAUAGUAGAUUCGACCUUCAUUUCCAUUCUUAUUGGAGCGGGUAAUUUUACAAUUCCUGAUGCCAUGUUGUCCUUCUACAAAAAUAACAAAUAAACAAAAAUCUCUAAGCUGUUUCAGAAGCAUGAGACUGAAAUUACAAACUAUAUCUAGCCAAGAUGGUGCAGUAAGGAAGAAAUGAAGAUCACUAUGAAAUACACAAGCUUCUAUUUGAAAUGAGAACAAAUGAAGAAUUAUGUCAAAAAGCUUCUUCCCCUUUGGAAUGUAAAAAGUAGGCUUGUUAUGAUUAAUGACGAACAUACUGGACAAGAAAUGCAACAAGGCUGGGCAUGACUAAUUGGAAUCAGUUAAAUUAGGUACAUACAAAUAUCCAUCCCCUGAUUUUCAAGCUAUAAAUACCACACUCUCACCUCUUCCUCCCAAUUCAUCUAAUGGAAUAUUUUUUUAGUGUUACAGAAGAGUUCACUUCCCCAGUCCCUCCAAAACCCGGAUGCUUAUAUUUAAUUGCCUAAUCAUGUUUAUAAUUGGCGGCAUUAAUCUUUUCUCGAACUUAUUCUGUGUUUUUCAAGUUGUCAUCUGUAUAUUAUAAUAUCCGAAUUCCGAACUGUUUUGGUACUUUCUCAUAAUAAUAAUACAAGUAAUCUAACUUAUCAAUAAGGAACUAUUAAUAAUAAUCUUAAUAAAUAUUAACAAUAUAACUUCUCCUCUUUGAUGUUUAGUGGAAUUGAGGGAAUGAACUCUCAUUCUGACAAUAUGACACUCAGGCAGCAACAAGCACUUAUUUUUCUCUCUAAAAAAUUAAAGGUAUCAAUCAAUCAGAUGUUUAGAACUCAUGUGUUUAAAUGUGACUAUUAAUAAUCUAGUAUUGUUAGCAUUAAUCUUUUAAGUUUGUUGUGUGUUUUCUUAAGCAUUCGAUGUUUUACUUUUAAGCUCAUUUUGAUUCACCCGAUCCACUUGGUUUACAUCAUAGUACAUAUAUAAAUGUCACCUAAUUCCAAAUAUUGAGUAAUAAUUAGUUUUAAAACACUUGAACAUCUUUGAGACAAUUUAUCAAACACCACAAGUGCACAACUUAAAUCCCAGAAUACCAUUGAUGUUUAUGCAUGAUUCUAGCCAAAAAAUUUAUCCAAGACCAGAGGGCCAGCACCGCAGCAGGCCAACAGCAGGCUUACAAUAUACAUCUCAAUUUAGACAAGGUCAUAUUCAUGAACAAAUUUUAGGGUUUUGGGAAUUUAGGCGUAUGAGAGAGUAAUGGCAGGAGGAGGAGGAUACGAAAUGGGAAAAUGAUACCUUGAAAGCUUGUGAUUUUGGAUCUCACUUGUUCCAGGAGGAAGCUUGCUCCAGCGGCAGCGAAGCAGGGAAUUACGAGAGAGAGAGAGAGAAUGUUUGUUCCGGUGUGUGAGAGAGUGUUUAGUGGAGAGUGUUCAUUCAGUGUUUAUUAGAGAGAGAAGGUUUGUUCCGGGUGAUGAGUAAGCUUCUGUUUUUUUUUCUCUUCCAUGUGGCACAGCCACCCUCAGCCGGUCGCAAACCCGGUCCCCAAACCAAUGUCGUUGUAGAAUUACUCAUUAACUAAGGUGUGAGAUAUAUACAUACACAUUAAAAGUUCCGGAAACUUUGUCGUUGGCAGUUCUAACGGCAGCCUCGAGAUCAAACCCCAGGCCGGAGUCAGGAUCUUCAGUAUCCUUGGAAGAGGCGUAAGCGUUCCAGUCUGCGAGGAGAGAGGGCGGCUGUUUUUGCAGAUCGCCGCCGUUGAUGGUGCUACUGCUGCUUGGUCCGCCGCCGAACCACGCUUGCGCCGUUUAUGCAUGUUGCUUUAGGCACUGUAAACAAAAUUAAGUGCUC